rnacentral:rRNA from 2 species
GACGAACGCUGGCGGCGUGCUUAACACAUGCAAGUCGAACGUGAUUUUUGUGGAAAUUCUUUCGGGAAUGGAAAUGAAAUGAAAGUGGCGAACGGGUGAGUAACACGUGAGCAACCUACCUUACACAGGGGGAUAGCCGUUGGAAACGACGAUUAAUACCGCAUGAGACCACAGAAUCGCAUGAUAUAGGGGUCAAAGAUUUAUCGGUGUAAGAAGGGCUCGCGUCUGAUUAGCUAGUUGGAAGGGUAAAGGCCUACCAAGGCGACGAUCAGUAGCCGGUCUGAGAGGAUGAACGGCCACAUUGGAACUGAGACACGGUCCAAACUCCUACGGGAGGCAGCAGUGGGGAAUAUUGCACAAUGGGGGGAACCCUGAUGCAGCGACGCCGCGUGAGCGAAGAAGGUUUUCGAAUCGUAAAGCUCUGUCCUAUGAGAAGAUAAUGACGGUAUCAUAGGAGGAAGCCCCGGCUAAAUACGUGCCAGCAGCCGCGGUAAUACGUAUGGGGCGAGCGUUGUCCGGAAUUAUUGGGCGUAAAGGGUACGUAGGCGGUUUUUUAAGUCAGGUGUGAAAGCGUGAGGCUUAACCUCAUUAAGCACUUGAAACUGGAAGACUUGAGUGAAGGAGAGGAAAGUGGAAUUCCUAGUGUAGCGGUGAAAUGCGUAGAUAUUAGGAGGAAUACCGGUGGCGAAGGCGACUUUCUGGACUUUUACUGACGCUCAGGUACGAAAGCGUGGGGAGCAAACAGG